AGCCUGCAUUCGAGGCAGGCCUUCUGUUAAAGAAUUUGAUAUAAAGCCCGCGCUAACAGUAAUCCUCCUGCCCCCGAUACCACAGCUGUGGAUAGUGUGGAAUGCAAGUAAUAAUACAAUCCAAUGUGUGUCUCAAUUGUCCC